CACCCCCACAGCAACACACAACUGUCACACACACACUGUACAUAUACACAAGCACACCCCCACAACACACACACACACACACACACACACCACUGUAAUAUACACAAGCACACUCCCACAGCAACAUGUACUUACAAACACAAAGAAAUGGAGGCUUGGAGGGCCUCGACUGAGGAAAGGAGCGUGAAAGGGAAAUGUAUUGAAGAAGUGGGUGGAGCAGUGGUUCUUACCAUUCAGGGAACCUUGGCAUUAUGGGUAACUCACUAGAACACCCAUACUGUCCCCUGUGUGCUCACCCUCAGGGUGAGGUGCUGGGAUUGCCAUUCUUAACAGUUUCUUUGGGUGGCUGUUGGGAUUGGGGACCUUUGGAGUUUUACUAUUUCUGUUUUGACCCCAUAUCUGUAAUUUGGUAGUCGGGGAUCACAAUUUUACAAAACAUUUGUACUCUAGGCUCAAUCACACACAAAACAGAGAUAAUGGUAAUUUAAUGGGUGUAAGGCUGAGCUGAUGUUCACAAACAUAUCUAGUGUAACAUUAAUUUAUCUAAGCACUCAGUUUCCUUCUUUUUUAUUUUUUCUUGGCAAGAACAAGCAUUCUUUAUUGCCUCCAUGGUCCCUUGUUAAAUUUACAUAACUUAGGUAAAACUGUUAUUUCAUUUUUUGUAUUAGAUAUUUUCUUUAUUUACAUUUC
rnacentral:lncRNA from 1 species